rnacentral:rRNA from 1 species
CGCGUAGGCGGCCUGUUAAGUCAAGUGUGAAAAUCGACGGCUCAACCGUUGAACUGCGCUUGAAACUGGCGGGCUAGAGAUCAGGAGAGGAAAGUGGAAUUCCUAGUGUAGCGGUGAAAUGCGUAGAUAUUAGGAAGAACAUCUAUGGCGAAGGCAGCUUUCUGGACUGACACUGACGCUGAGGCGCGAAAGCGUGGGGAGCAAACA